AAACAAAGCCUUUAUUUGUCUUUUUUUUUUUGUAUUAUUGCCAUUAACUGGACUUUAAGAAGUGCAUACAUCGGUAACUGCCUAUCACUCCUUCGCUUACGCACUCUUUUUUUUGACUAGCAAAUGUGCUGUCAUGGACUAAUUUACAGUAUCACAUUACUCUAAAAGAAAGAUGUGUUGAGUUAACUGACAUUCAAGUUUUUUUUAUAUGUUUGAAUGGAACCUUUGACUACUCCGCUUUGACUUAACAUCAUAAGGAAUCUCUAAAUGUGUAGUGUUGCACAGAAAAAAAGAGAAUAAUACAGGUCUCGAGCAACAUUACAUUUUUACUGACCCCAAACUUUUGAGCGGAGAUGCCAUAAAAAUAGCUUGAUGCAGUCUGCUGAUUGAUUGAGUGCUCAUUUCUCCUUUAUACAGAUCAGAAGUUCAUUGUAUGCGUUUGUUUUACUGUGUGUAUUAAUAUUAAUGAAGCAAUUUACUCUGAUUAAUCACAGCAGGAAAGAGACAACACUCAGUUAAAUGCUGCAGGCAUUAGAACUGUGUGUGAGUCUAACACAACAUGGCUUUCAUGCCAUGUUCGGUCUGCUCUGUGUUUGUGACAUUGACUCGAGAUCUUUAAACACAACACACACAGUCUUUUACUGUCCUUUUCCCUUCAGUGACUCAGAUAGGAAUCUCAGUCUUUUAUUUUGUGUGUGAGCCCAUGCAUGUACAAGCCUUUGAUAUGACAGCUUGAGUCUGUUAACCUCUCUAAUCAGGGUCCUUCAUCAGAAAGGUCUUUCAGAGUGCCUGUUUAAAAUUCAUAAAUUUAAAGAGAGGGGAGAAGAGGGACUGAAAAAGGGAACAGAGAAAAAAGGAAAUCAAAACAUAAACUCUCCCAUGAGGUAGAAGCUGCAGAUUGUCUCCUUCCUGACCCAGGACCUGCACUGAUCUUGAGGUGAACCCAAAGAGGGGUGAAGUCACGCUCGGUGUUUAACAUUAUCGGCUUCAUCAGCACGGGCAGUUGGCAUUUGUGUGUUUAUACGUUUUUAAUUAUUUUCUUUGAUCUCAUGGAUUGUCUCCUUACAGAGUAUUUUCUGUGCCUUCUAAAAACGCGCUUUUUUCGUGUCCAAUGUGGACACUGCAGUACCACUGGCUCACAUGUAGAGGGCAUUAGUAUCCCCAGAGUCAGUCCAGUUGUAUUCAUUUUCAACGUUUUUUUCUGUCUUUCUUUCUUUUCUUUUUUUUAAAUAUAAAUAAAAAACGAAGCUACUGCAUGUUACUCCGGUACGUUACUCGUUACACAUUCAGUAUUUGUGCGACGGAUUUGUGCAUCUGGAAACCACAAACGGUGAAGCGUAGCAGAGGUGAGGUUUGCCUGACAUUUUUCUAUUGCGUGUCUGGAUCCCAUCUUUCUUCAUAAAUGCCUUGCAGGCCUGGUUUUCACCACAUCAGGAUACAGGGCUGCUGGCUGAAUUCCGGUAUGAAACGGAGCGCUGGUGCACCGCAAUCUGUGUGUCAUACAUAUGCACAUCCCUCUUCAGACAGAUGGACAGGGAGCCGAAUCCAUCACGGUACUCCUGCCAGGUUCGGUUAAAGUCAGUUUGUCCAUCAAACCGGCGCUGGAACACCGUCCAUCCCCCACCAGCUGAAACCAUGUCACACACGGCCUGGAAUGGACAAGUCAUAAAG